GACGAACGCUGGCGGCGUGCUUAACACAUGCAAGUCGAACGGAAAGGCCCUGCUUUUGUGGGGUGCUCGAGUGGCGAACGGGUGAGUAACACGUGAGUAACCUGCCCUUGACUUUGGGAUAACUUCAGGAAACUGGGGCUAAUACCGGAUAGGAGCUCCUGCUGCAUGGUGGUGGUUGGAAAGUUUCGGCUGUUGGGGAUGGACUCGCAGCUUAUCCGCUGGUUUAUGGGGUAGUGGCUUACCAAGGCUUUGACGGGUAGCCGGCCUGAGAGGGUGACCGGCCACAAUGGGACUGAGAUACGGCCCAGACUGCUACGGGAGGCAGCAGUGGGGAAUAUUGCACAAUGGGCGGAAGCCUGAUGCAGCAACGCCGCGUGCGGAAUGACGGCCUUCGGGUUGUAAACCGCUUUCGCCUGUGACGAAGCGUGAGUGACGGUAAUGGGUAAAGAAGCACCGGCUAACUACGUG
rnacentral:rRNA from 1 species